CCGUAGACGGGUUCGCUCAAUGUAUAGACGUUCUGUAUUCCUCCUUCCACCGUGCCAACAAAGCACGGCUGCAAGCAGGGCUGGGUUGAGAAAACCUCGUCAACUCGACGACCCGUGGAGCACCAGAAAACAAGGAUUCCAAGGUAAAGGAGGGAGAAGAGUGUGUACUCGAUUCUUUCGUAAACGAUGCAUGGAUGGAUGCUUGAUUAGAAGGGGAAGUAGCAGGAGAUGCAUUUGCCGAACGUUGUUGACUAGACUUGAUGCCUUGGUUAGUCCAAGAUUCUUUGUUUUCGGUAGUUGGUGUUGAGCUCGAGGUAGCAUCCGGUAGUGCAGGUUUUUCCGGCUCCACUGGUGAUUCCUUGCUUAACGACUUUGUCCUUUCACUACCAGACACAUUUCGUAACCCCACUCGAUAAU